rnacentral:rRNA from 1 species
UACAGAGGGUGCAAGCGUUAAUCGGAAUUACUGGGCGUAAAGCGUGCGUAGACGGUAGCGUAAGUCGGGUGUGAAAGCCCCGGGCUCAACCUGGGGAGGUGCGCUUGAUACUCGAGGGCUUGAGUGCGGGAGAGGAGAGUGGAAUUCCCCAGUGUAGAGGUGAAAUUCGUAGAUAUUGGGAAGAACACCGGUGGCGAAGGCGGCUCUCUGGACCGUAACUGACGCUGAGGCGCGAAAGCGUGGGGAGCAAACAGG